rnacentral:rRNA from 1 species
ACAAGCGGUGGAGCAUGUGGUUAAUUCGAAGCAACGCGAAGAACCUUACCAGGUCUUGACAUCCCUGACAACCCGAGAGAGUCGGGCGGUUCCCCCUUCGGGGGGACAGGGUGACAGGUGGUGCAUGGUUGUCGUCAGCUCGUGUCGUGAGAUGUUGGGUUAAAGUCCCGCAACCGAGCGCAACCCUCGACCUUAGUUGCCAGCAUUCAGUUGGGCACUCUAAGGUGACUGCCGGCUAAAAGUCGGAGGAAGGUGGGGAUGACGUCAAAUCAUCAUGCCCCUUAUGACCUGGGCUACACACGUGCUACAAUGGGCGGUACAAAGGGUCGCGAACCCGCGAGGGGGAGCCAAUCCCAAAAAGCCGCUCUCAGUUCGGAUUGCAGGCUGCAACUCGCCUGCAUGAAGCCGGAAUCGCUAGUAAUCGCGGAUCAGCAUGCCGCGGUGAAUACGUCCCCGGGCCUU